ensembl:lncRNA
GAGGUCAUCCUGACUGGUUGCAUCUCUGCCUGAUACGGCAAUUGCUCAGCAUCCGACCGCAAGGCACUACAGAGGGUAGUGUUAGGGCUAAGCGGCCUGCUAUCCAGGACCUCUACACUAGGCGGUGUCAGAGGAAGGCCCUAAAAAUUGUCAAAGACAACAGCCACCCCAGUCAUAGACGGUUCUCUCUACUACCGCAUGGCAAGCGGUACCAGAGUGCCAUGUCUAGGACAAAAAGGCUUCUCAACAGUUUUUACCCCCAAGCCAUAAGACUCCUGAACAGGUAAUCAAGUGGCUACCUGGACUAUUUGCAUUCUUCUUUUUACGCUGCUGCUACUCUCUGUUUAUCAUAUAUGCAUAGUCACUUUAACUAUUCAUUCAUGUCCAUAAUACCUCAAUUGGGCCGACCAACCUGUGCUCCCGCACAUUGGCUAACCGGGCUAUCUGCAUUGUGUCCCGCCACCAACCACCCGCCAACCCUUUUUUUACACUACUGCUACUCUCUGUUCAUCAUAUGCAUAGUCACUUUAACCAUAUCUACAUGUACAUACUACGUCAAUCAGCCUGACUAACCGGUGUCUGUAUGUAGCCUCGCUAAUUUUAUAGCCUCGCUACUGAAUAGAGCCUGUCUUUUUACUUUACUAUUAUUUAUUUACUUACCUAUUGUUCACCUAAUACCUUUUUGCACUAUUGGUUAGAGCCUGUAAGUAAGCUUUUCACUUACUUACAACACCUGUUGUAUUCGGCGCAUGUGACAAAUAAACUUUGCUUUGAUUGGAUUUGAAUUUGCUUAAAUUAAUAAGAAAUACACACCUGGUGUGAACAAGAAAUGAAUUGUUCAGAGAUUUGAACUUAUUGUUUUGAAAAAAAGAAUUAUCAUUCGAGAAUUGAGCCAAAGCUAUUGAGAGAACCUGUAACAUACACAACACAAAAGAAUGCCAAAACAGCUCCUACACCAUUUUGCAUGUCUAUUUGAAUGUAUGCGAGACGCUGUUCUUUGUUACCUUUUACAUGCACAGAAACCCGAAAAAGUGUUUUAAACACCGAUAUGAAGAACCACAUAUUUCAGAGAACUUCUAUUCUGUUUGAAAACACUGUGUUUCAGAACACUUAAAUUGGCUUUACAGCCUCUAAACACCAGAUCUCAUCUUAAGUACAUUACUUUGCAUGGUUUCAUUAUACAGUGAUGGUGUUUUGAGUGUUUAAUAGAGGAGGAGAGAGAAGGCAAAGAAUACGAAUCCCUGAUGAAAUCAGAGCCACAAUUGUGGACUGUGUCAUCAAGCACAAGACAUUUGCAAUGUGGAUACAGCCAACAAUUCCAUCAGGCUAAGAGGGAUCCAAAGUGCAAUCAUAAAUGACAACAUCAUUGCAAAUAUCAAUUCUGUCAGCAUUUCCACUCUAGACAGAGUUUUCAAAAAUAAUCAAAUGACUAUGAAACAACUCUACAAGGUGCCACUUGAGAGGAAUAGUGACUGAGUGAAGGAGCUGCGUUACCAGUAUGUCCAGGUAGGAGCUGUGGGACAGGUAUGUCCAGGUAGGAGCUGCUGUACCAGUAUGUCCAGGUACCAGUAUGUCCAGGUAGGAGCUGCAGUACCAGUAUGUCCAGGUAGGAGCUGUGGUACCAGUAUGUCCAGGUAGGAGCUGUGGUACCAGUAUGUCCACGUACCAGUAUGUCCAGGUAGGAGCUGAGGUACCAGUAUGUCCAGGUAGGAGCUGAGGUACCAGGAUGUCCAGGUAGGAGCUGUGGUACCAGUAUGUCCAGGUAGGAGCUGUGGUAACAGUAUGUCCAGGUUAACCAUUGGUGUGCACAUGGUAUAUUGUACAGGGAGUUUUACUGUACUUCAGUGAUGCCUGUAUAUAUUUCUUGAAGUUUUAGAUACCCAUAAAAACAUUUCUACUUUACUAAACUGUCUGAUUCCAGAAAAGGCUAUGUUAAACUAACUUCAUGUUUUGUUUCUGUAUUACUAUAUAGAUAAUAAUGGAGCUGGAAGGACAUGAAAUGACCCACAUUCUUGUUUUUGUGGAAGAGGCUAGGUUCAAUCUGGCCGAAUGCAGAGACGUGGAAGCAAUCUCAUUGGCCACCGAGCCACAAUUGUCACACCAGGCCAACGUGGGGACCAUAUUACAAUGUGUGCUGCCAUUUCUGAGAAUGUUGUGAGCAAAACAUAUUCCACACAUUGGGUCCUAUAACACCCAACUUCUCCUGUCCUUCCUAAAUAUACUGUACAGAGACCUAAUACCAGAACAUGAAAGAGAUUGCAUCGCAAGGGAAAACAUCAGAUGUGAUUCUGACUAAAAUCUCUGGCCAGACCAACAAGAGUGCCAGUGUGUCCAAGAAGAUGGGAACUUGUAGUGUUACGUAGGGUGCGGAGGUACUAUUUAUUGUUUUUUACAGAACUGUCGCAGGUUUUUUUCAAUGUUGCGAGUUUAUUUAUUUUUUGCAUAGAUGUCAUUUUGUGGCAAAUUUUCUGUUCAAUAUAUAUGACUUUACAUGUAAGAAAUAUGUAAAAAUGGACAUGCAAAUGUGAAUUUUCUGUUUACAUGUAACACAUUGCUAUAAAUGUUCUGUAUACAUGCAAAUGUGCAUAUCCUUUUUCUGUGUACUACAGUAUUGUUCAAAAAAACAAAAAAAAUGUUUUAUUUUGGUGGCGUUGGUCAAUUCACUGACACAAUAACUAGGCUUUGAAGCACAAAUAGAAAAAAUUGGGUGAGAGACUACAUUUUGCAGACAUGCAAUAGAGUUGUGAUGUCCCAUAAAACAGUUGUGACAAUUGCACUUACAGUUUAGAGAAUGUUAAGCCUGUUUAAAAAAUUGAGCCAAAGCGAUUGAGGAAAAACUAAUUAUUUAUAUAUAUUAGCUUGUUUAUACACUAGGUGGCACUAUAUGUUAGG